rnacentral:misc_RNA from 1 species
UUUCCGUAGGUGAACCUGCGGAAGGAUCAUUUUCGAAACCUGCCCAGCAGAACGACCCGCGAACUUGUAUAAACAACUGGGGGCGGGGGGCGUUUUCGCCCCGUGCCCCCGAACGGCGGGGAGACACUCGUGCCUUCUUGCCGAACAACGAACCCCGGCGCGGUCUGCGCCAAGGAACUUCAACUAAAGGGUGCCUCCGGUCGCCUCGGAAACGGCGUGCGUGCCGGAGGCGAAUCUUGUGCAAAACCAUAACGACUCCCGGCAACGGAUAUCUCGGCUCUCGCCUCGAUGAAGAACGCAGC